rnacentral:rRNA from 1 species
UGUGAUGGGUAGGGGAGCGUCGUGUGCCGGGUGAAGCUGCCGCGUAAGCGAGUGGUGGACGGUUCACGAGUGAGAAUGCAGGCAUGAGUAGCGAUUCACACGUGAGAAACGUGUGCGCCGAUUGACUAAGGGUUCCUGGGUCAAGCUGAUCUGCCCAGGGUAAGUCGGGACCUAAGGCGAGGCCGACAGGCGUAGUCGAUGGAUAACCGGUUGAUAUUCCGGUACCCGCUGUGAAGCGUCAAACAUUGAAUCCAGUGAUGCUAAGCCCGUGAAGCCGCCCUGAUCUCUUCGGAGUUGAGGGGAGUGGUGGAGCCGGUGACCCAGGCUGGUAGUAGG